rnacentral:lncRNA from 1 species
ACUCACCUCGUGUGCCGCGCGCCUCCCGACCGCCGCUGACAGAGCCGCAGCCGGCCAGCCACAGCCGCAGCCAUUGCCACCUUCCCUCUCCAACUCUCUUUCUCUCUCUUUCUCUCGAGUUGAGAGCAGACCCGAGGUUACUUUGCCUCCUCGUUCUCUCUGCCGACAUCGCCUCGACCUCCGGCGACUCCCGCGUCGGUCGCCGCCGCCCCUGCCGGGCGCCGCCGCCACCUCGACAGAUUGCGGCUGCCCCAGGUCUACUCGGGCU